rnacentral:rRNA from 1 species
CUGGGGUUCGGGUCGGUGGUUUGCCGCUCUGCGGCUACUGCCGUGCUCGACUCUUACUAGCCGGUGCGUCUCUUGGUGCUCUUCAUUGAGUGCCACGAGAGCCUGGCAUGUUUACUUUGAAAAAAUUAGAGUGCUCAAAGCAGGCGCUUGCGCCUGAAUAGUGUUGCAUGGAAUAAUGGAAUAGGACCUCGGUUCUAUUUUGUUGGUUUUCGGAACUUGAGGUAAUGAUUAAGAGGGACGGUCGGGGGCAUUCGUAUUUCGGUGUUAGAGGUGAAAUUC